rnacentral:rRNA from 1 species
GAUGAACGCUGGCGGCGUGCCUAAUACAUGCAAGUCGAGCGAACGGACGAGAAGCUUGCUUCUCUGAUGUUAGCGGCGGACGGGUGAGUAACACGUGGAUAACCUACCUAUAAGACUGGGAUAACUUCGGGAAACCGGAGCUAAUACCGGAUAAUAUUUUGAACCGCAUGGUUCAAAAGUGAAAGACGGUCUUGCUGUCACUUAUAGAUGGAUCCGCGCUGCAUUAGCUAGUUGGUAAGGUAACGGCUUACCAAGGCAACGAUGCAUAGCCGACCUGAGAGGGGGAUCGGCCACACUGGAACUGAGACACGGUCCAGACUCCUACGGGAGGCAGCAGUAGGGAAUCUUCCGCAAUGGGCGAAAGCCUGACGGAGCAACGCCGCGUGAGUGAUGAAGGUCUUCGGUCGUAAAACUCUGUUAUUAGGGAAGAACAUAUGUGUAAGUAACUGUGCACAUCUUGACGGUACCUAAUCAGAAAGCCACGGCUAACUACGUG